rnacentral:rRNA from 1 species
CCUACGGGUGGCUGCAGUGAGGAAUAUUGGUCAAUGGACGAGAGUCUGAACCAGCCAAGUAGCGUGAAGGAUGACUGCCCUAUGGGUUGUAAACUUCUUUUAUAUGGGAAUAACAUGUUCCACGUGUGGGAUUUUGUAUGUACCAUCUGAAUAAGGAUCGGCUAACUUCGUGCCAGCAGCCGCGGUAAUACGGAGGCGCCGAGCUUUAUCCGGAGUUAUUGGGUUUAAAGGGAGCGUAGGUGGAUGGUUAAGUCCGUUGUGAAAGUUUGCGGCUCAACCGUAAAAUUGCAUUUGAAACUGGCAGUCUUGAGUACAGUAGAGGUGAGCGGAAUUCGUGGUGUAGCGGUGAAAUGCUUAGAUAUCACGAAGAACUCCGAUUGCGAAGGCAGCUCACUGGACUGCAACUGACACUGAGGCUCGAAAGUGUGGGUAUCAAACAGGAUUAGAUACCCUUGUAGUC